rnacentral:rRNA from 1 species
CUGAUCAGCCAUGCCGCGUGAGUGAUGAAGGCCUUAGGGUUGUAAAGCUCUUUCACCGGAGAAGAUAAUGACGGUAUCCGGAGAAGAAGCCCCGGCUAACUUCGUGCCAGCAGCCGCGGUAAUACGAAGGGGGCUAGCGUUGUUCGGAAUUACUGGGCGUAAAGCGCACGUAGGCGGACAUUUAAGUCAGGGGUGAAAUCCCAGAGCUCAACUCUGGAACUGCCUUUGAUACUGGGUGUCUAGAGUAUGGAAGAGGUGAGUGGAAUUCCGAGUGUAGAGGUGAAAUUCGUAGAUAUUCGGAGGAACACCAGUGGCGAAGGCGGCUCACUGGUCCAUUACUGACGC